AUCAGCCACAUUGGGACUGAGACACGGCCCAAACUCCUACGGGAGGCAGCAGUGGGGAAUAUUGGACAAUGGGCGCAAGCCUGAUCCAGCCAUGCCGCGUGAGUGAUGACGGCCUUAGGGUUGUAAAGCUCUUUCGUCAGGGACGAUAAUGACGGUACCUGAAGAAGAAGCCCCGGCUAACUUCGUGCCAGCAGCCGCGGUAAUACGAAGGGGGCUAGCGUUGUUCGGAAUUACUGGGCGUAAAGCGCGUGUAGGCGGGUCUUUAAGUCAGGGGUGAAAUGCCAGGGCUCAACCUUGGAACUGCCUUUGAUACUGGAGAUCUUGAGUCCGGGAGAGGUGAGUGGAACUGCGAGUGUAGAGGUGAAAUUCGUAGAUAUUCGCAAGAACACCAGUGGCGAAGGCGGCUCACUGGCCCGGUACUGACGCUGAGAUGCGAAAGCGUGGGGAGCAAACAGGAUUAGAUACCCUGGUAGUCCACGCUGUAAACGAUGGAUGCUAGCCGUUAGGCAGCUUGCUGCUUAGUGGCGCAGUUAACACUUUAAGCAUCCCGCCUGGGGAGUACGGUCGCAAGAUUAAAACUCAAAGGAAUGACGGA
rnacentral:rRNA from 1 species